GCGUAAACUUCCCCACCCGCAGCUCGCCAGAGGAUUACAAGUGAAAAACUUGAAACUCCAAGGACUUGACGGUGUCCUAUCCAUACUAGAGGAGCCUGUCCUAUAAUCGAUACCCCACGUUAUACCUUACCCCCCCUAGCUCAACCUAUAUACCGCCGUCAUCAGCUUACACUGUGAACCCAUCACCGUAGGCGAAACUACCGCACAUAAACACGACAGGUCAAGGUGUAGUCCAUGGGGGGCCAGCGAUGGGCUACAUUUUCUAAUUAGAAAACACCGCCAGCACCGUGAAACUGCUAAAAGGGGGAUUUAAAAGUAAACCUGGCAAGACAUGCCAACUUGGCGCCCUAGGACG
rnacentral:rRNA from 1 species